rnacentral:pre_miRNA from 1 species
GAAGUACUCCCUCCGUCCAGAAUUACUUGUCAUCAAAAUGGAUGAAAAUGGAUGUAUCUUGAACUAAAAUACAUCUAGAUACAUCCAUUUCAAUGACGAGUAUUUCCGGACGGAGGGAGUAUAUA